rfam:Bacillus sp. B-jedd genome assembly, contig: CONTIG000001
AUAGACCCAGGGCAACUUAUUUGAAAAGAUAAGAACGCAAAGCUAAAGGGGCUAAAGCAGUGCUCUGCUAUGCCAGCCAGCUGCAGAU